UGCUACCUUUUGGUGUCAGUAAUGGCCCUGAGAAAUCUGACUGCCUGUGCUUAGGAUUUGCUUGCAUUUGUCAUGGAUUAUAUUAUUAUUUGUCAUGGAUAGAAUAGGAUUUUUUUAAAGUAUUAUUUUCUACAUGUAUUUUUCUUUGUUCAGUUGUGGGGGGCAUGCCAUGCAGAUUUAGAUGCCAAGAUGUAAGAGGGUCGUUUGAGACAUCUUGGCUUGAAGACCAACUCAGCCACACUGCUUGGUUUGCCUGUGAAGCCACUGAAUACAAAAGAAGCUGAUAUGAGGGAAAGCCCCAACUUUGACAAUAAAAAUAUGUCAGCAUCAAAAUGGUUAAUGAUUGCAUUUUAAAUCAAAAUGUUCUCCAUGACUGACUGCUUUGCAGCACUAGGUGCGCAACCCCACAAAUUAAAUUGAUGAUUCCCAUAUUGGGCCAAAAAUGCAACAGGAGAAGGCUAUGAAAAAUUAGGAAAUCUUCUUGACAUCGGGAAAUCCAACACUUGUCUGCUCUAACAUCUGUAAGUGCCAAAGAAAGAGGGGGAUUUUUUUCCUUAAAGAAAGGCAGGUUUGCCUAUCUCCAAGGGAUGAUCGGUCAGGGCUGUUUUCUGAAGAAGAAGCCUAUAGGCAAAGAGGCAUCCAUAUGUUCACACAGGAAGAUUCAUAAAGGCAAGGACAGGAACAUAAAGGUAUUAUUUUGACAUGAUGACCCCUGGAAAAAGUAUUUGACUCAUCCCAACAACAGCCACCCCCACCCUGCCUUCCCCAUUGCAAAAUACCACGACCAAAAUCACCAGCAACCCAAGCCAGAGACAGACCAACAGCCUAAAACCUACAAUGAAUUUACAUCAUCUAUAUGGAGCUUUGGACCAACAGGUUGUUGCCACUUUUGCUGCCUUUGCCUCUGAGAAGUUGAGUAAAUCCUCUGGCCCCUUUCAAAUAUUUUCUCAUCUGCACUGAAUUUCUACUGACAAAGCAACUGAUAGAUACGGACCUCAGAAAUAUUUAUUAUCAAUGAGUAAAGUUUUUUUUUUUUUUUUUUUUUUUUUUUAAUCUGAGGCAAUUAGUUCCUGAAUAAACACAGACUAAGUAAUCUACCUCCUCAAAAGAUAAUCAGACUUGAAAAGCGCUGUUUGGUCCUACCCAAGAAAAGCACAACUUGAUUAAAAUGCUUUGGAGGUUCACUUUCAUUUCUUCCCUUUUGCCCUGGAAAACAUUUUAUAACAUCCCAAUAACUUUUAUUUUCUUCCCAUGCCAAACCUGGGGCCUCUGUUGGUUGUUGCUGUCCUUUUCCCCCACCUUUCCUAAAUCUUUAACCCUGCUUCUCAUUUUUCUUUGCCCCUAAUCUAAUCACUAAUUCCUUGGCUUGGCCAAAUAGUUAAAAAUGUUAAGUGCUGCUCACAAUUCCUGCUGCCUCCCCCAUGUAUCUGUCUCUGUUUAUGGAACAGGCCCUGGUUUCCUCCUGCUCUUGUUCAGCUGUAGGUCUGCAGGUCAGGAGACUGUAAAUACACACAGUGCUGCCCCAACCCAUAAAUCUGAGCAAAGGGCAGCCUUAUAUAUUCAGAUAAGGGA